AUUGAACGCUGGCGGCAUGCCUUACACAUGCAAGUCGAACGGCAGCAUAGGAGCUUGCUCCUGAUGGCGAGUGGCGAACGGGUGAGUAAUAUAUCGGUACGUGCCCUAGAGUGGGGGAUAACUAGUCGAAAGACUAGCUAAUACCGCAAACGAUAUACGGAUGAAAGUGGGGGGUCGCAAGACCUCAUGCUCCUGGAGCGGCCGAUAUCCGAUUAGCUAGUUGGUGGGGUAAAAGCCUACCAAGGCGACGAUCAGUAGCUGGUCUGAGAGGACGACCAGCCACACUGGGACUGAGACACGGCCCAGACUCCUACGGGAGGGAGCAGUUGGGUAUUUUGGACAAGGGGGGCAACCCUGAUCCAGCAAUGCCGCGUGAGUGAAGAAGGCCUUCGGGUUGUAAAGCUCUUUUGUCAGGGAAGAAACGGUAGUGGCUAAUAUCUAUUACUAAUGACGGUACCUGAAGAAUAAGCACCGGCUAACUACGUGCCAGCCGCCGCGGUAACAC
rnacentral:rRNA from 1 species